rnacentral:rRNA from 1 species
AUUGAACGCUGGCGGCAUGCCUUACACAUGCAAGUCGAACGGUAACGCGGGGCAACCUGGCGACGAGUGGCGAACGGGUGAGUAAUGCAUCGGAACGUGCCCAGUAGUGGGGGAUAGCCCGGCGAAAGCCGGAUUAAUACCGCAUACGACCUACGGGUGAAAGCGGGGGAACGACAGGCCUCGCGAUAUUGGAGCGGCCGAUGUCAGAUUAGGUAGUUGGUGGGGUAAAGGCCUACCAAGCCGACGAUCUGUAGCUGGUCUGAGAGGACGACCAGCCACACUGGGACUGAGACACGGCCCAGACUCCUACGGGAGGCAGCAGUGGGGAAUUUUGGACAAUGGGGGAAACCCUGAUCCAGCCAUGCCGCGUGCGGGAAGAAGGCCUUCGGGUUGUAAACCGCUUUUGUCAGGGAAGAAACGCUCUGAGUUAAUACCUCGGGGUAAUGACGGUACCUGAAGAAUAAGCACCGGCUAACUACGUGCCAGCAGCCGCCGUAAAAC